rnacentral:rRNA from 7 species
CCUGGUUAUUGAAGCGACUUGGCACCACCCUUUCCCAUCCCGAACAAGGUCGUGAAACGAGUUAGCGCUUAUGAUACUUCUGCGUUUUCGCAGAGGGAAAGUAGGUCGUAGCCGGGG